GUUAACAAAAUAUUUUUUGUACAUCAAAAGCUUUUACCGACAUAACCACAUCGAUUGGAAAAAGUGGGAGCUUUACCGACUGCUCAUAGAAACAAAAGUCUGUACGAAUCUGGACACGGAAGAAAGUGUAUUUCUUGACGGACCGAGUCUCCACCAAUGGAUUUCACAAUGCAGACGACAUUUUAGUCAACUAAUGGAACCCAAGCUGGACUUACAGUGGAAAGGGUAUGAACAAAAUAAGGCUGACGUUCGUCUGACUCAUCUUCGCUGAACUCAGCUGAUCCCGCUUCGGAUAUUUGAAAUGAUGGUAGUAAUGUAGAUGUAGUGAGGAUGCUGGUGAAGAAUGUUGGCCAUGAGAAGACGUAGCAGGAGAAGAUUGUUGGCCAUAACAAUGAGACGAUGAAGCUGGUGAACAAUGUUGGCCAUAACACACAGAAGAAGAUGCUGGUGAAGAAUUCACAUUUUGAAGCGAUGGAGGCUGCAAAACUUCAUCAGCUAAAUCUUCAUCAGAUUCUUCUGGCUCGGUGGCUCCACAGUGAACGGAUGGGUUAACUCCAACUCAACUGGUGCACGUUUGGAUUUUUUGAAGCUGUAACAUGUAAGGACAUCCAUUGCCAACAUCUCUGUAAAAAGUCCAUGAGGUUUCUUCAUACCCCAUCCACUUCAGAAGAAUUCUAAUUGGAAAAACUUGGAAAAACUUACCCCAUAUCCAGAAUUGCCUCAACUUCGUAUUCCUCGUGAUUAUCCAUUGUUUGUUUUGAAUUUUUGAAUGGAAAAAAACAAAACAAACUUUUGGUCUGAACUAUAUGAACAAAUUGAACCAUCGAUGAACCAUGUUGAAUGAACAAUAGAAGUUGGGAUCAAAUAUGUGCGCCACUGGAAGAUCGUGAUACCAAGACAAGGAAUAGCACGGGGCAAGUUGCUAGAAUUGGCCGCAUUGGUGCCAUAGACCAUGUGUCGCAGAUUGAUUUCAUUUGUGGACCAUAUUCAUCACAUGGGUCACAUUCUUCAGUUAUAAGCGAAACAUUUUCAUACGAUCCUAAAUGGCCAUCGUUUUGACAAAACACGCCGUGUGGCUCUUUGUUGAUGCAAAUUUUUGAAAUAACCCCAUUCUUAAAUAUUUUGUACCCACUUUCUCUUUUAGGUAGUGGGUAUGAUGGGGUAACGGACACUAUAUCAAAACAAAUACAUGUCCGAUCACACAAAAUUGAAGAAAACAACAUAGUAACUUACAUUUUUCCAUGAAACUAUUCAUCAUUCCCUCCUGAUCUGGCGCUCCUGAGUUUUUGAAAGCUUUCGCCAAGAAAGAAUCUAAAUCCGUCUAAAUCCAUAUCAAUUGGACACGUAGUUUUGGUGUAGACAUUUCUUCUACUUUGUUCAAUAAUGUUAUCCAUUCUAAGGAGAGAAAAAAAUAACGAUAAUUCUUACUGCAUUGAUCGCGAAGACUGGACUGCAAUUCUAGAUUUCUAGAUCGCUACCUUCUUUUUCCCACAAAAAAAUGUCGUCCAAUCCGUGAGCUCUUAUUGGUUUUCCUUUUUCCAGUUGCCGCGGGGUUUUGACGGAAAUUACAUCUUUUAAGUUAACGAUGACUAGCGUUACAAGCGAUGAAAUUGCAAACUACACCGGAAUCGGAACAACACAAAUAUGCUAGGUUAUUCACACCCAACAGAGCU